AGCUUUGCGCAGUGGCAGUAUCGUAGCCAAUGAGGUUUAUCUGAGGCGCGAUUAUUGCUAAUUGAAAUUUCUGGAUCACAUCAAAACUACCAACCAUCAUGGGCAAGAUCUGAAUUAUUUUUACCUUCCCCAUGCAU